GACGAACGCUGGCGGCGUGCCUAAUACAUGCAAGUUGAGCGCUGAAGGUUGGUACUUGUACCGACUGGAUGAGCAGCGAACGGGUGAGUAACGCGUGGGGAAUCUGCCUUUGAGCGGGGGACAACAUUUGGAAACGAAUGCUAAUACCGCAUAAAAACUUUAAACACAAGUUUUAAGUUUGAAAGAUGCAAUUGCAUCACUCAAAGAUGAUCCCGCGUUGUAUUAGCUAGUUGGUGAGGUAAAGGCUCACCAAGGCGAUGAUACAUAGCCGACCUGAGAGGGGGGUCGGCCACAUUGGGACUGGGACACGGCCCAAACUCCUACGGGAGGCAGCAGUAGGGAAUCUUCGGCAAUGGACGAAAGGCUGACCGAGCAACGCCGCGUGAGUGAAGAAGGGUUUCGGAUCGUAAAACUCUGUUGGUAGAGAAGAACGUUGGUGAGAGUGGAAAGCUCAUCAAGUGACGGUAACUACCCAGAAAGGGACGGCUAACUACGUG
rnacentral:rRNA from 1 species